rnacentral:rRNA from 1 species
UACGUAGGCAGCAAGCGUUGUUCGGAAUUACUGGGCGUAAAGAGUGUGUAGGCGGUGCUCUAAGUCUGUUGUGAAAUCUCCCGGCUUAACUGGGAGGGUGCGGCGGAAACUGGAGUGCUCGAGGGUGGGAGAGGUAAGCGGAAUUCCUGGUGUAGCGGUGAAAUGCGUAGAUAUCAGGAGGAACACCUGUGGUGUAGACAGCUUACUGGACCACUUCUGACGCUGAGACACGACAGCGUGGGUAGCAAACAGG